rnacentral:rRNA from 1 species
UGGGGGAUAUUGCACAAUGGGCGAAAGCCUGAUGCAGCGACGCCGCGUGGGGGAUGAAGGCCUUCGGGUUGUAAACUUCUUUUGCUCUGAACAAGGCAUGCUAAUGGGUGUGUUGAGUGUAGGGGUUGAUUAGCGCCGGCUAACUACGUGCCAGCAGCCGCGGUAAUACGUAGGGCGCGAGCGUUGUCCGGAAUUAUUGGGCGUAAAGGGCUUGUAGGUGGCUGGUUGCGUCUGUCGUGAAAGCUCAUGGCUUAACUGUGGGUUUGCGGUGGGUACGGGCUGGCUUGAGUGCAGUAGGGGAGGCUGGAAUUCCUGGUGUAGCGGUGGAAUGCGCAGAUAUCAGGAGGAAUACCGGUGGCGAAGGCGGGUCGCUGGGCUGUUACUGACACUGAGGAGCGAAAGCAUGGGGAGCGAACAGG